UACGGAGGGGGCUAGCGUUGUUCGGAAUUACUGGGCGUAAAGCGCACGUAGGCGGCUUUGUAAGUCAGAGGUGAAAUCCCGGGGCUCAGCUCCGGAACUGCCUUUGAGACUGCAUCGCUUGAAUCCAGGAGAGGUGAGUGGAAUUCCGAGUGUAGAGGUGAAAUUCGUAGAUAUUCGGAAGAACACCAGUGGCGAAGGCGGCUCACUGGACUGGUAUUGACGCUGAGGUGCGAAAGCGUGGGGAGCAAACAGG
rnacentral:rRNA from 1 species